AGAGUUUGAUCCUGGCUCAGGAUGAACGCUGGCGGCGUGCUUAACACAUGCAAGUCGAACGAAGCACUUCAUAAAGUUUACUUUAAGAAGUGACUUAGUGGCGGACGGGUGAGUAACGCGUGGGUAACCUGCCUUACACAGGGGGAUAACAGUUAGAAAUGACUGCUAAUACCGCAUAAAACAGCAGAGUCGCAUGACUCAACUGUCAAAGAUUUAUCGGUGUAAGAUGGACCCGCGUCUGAUUAGCUUGUUGGUGGGGUAACGGCCUACCAAGGCGACGAUCAGUAGCCGGCCUGAGAGGGUGAACGGCCACAUUGGGACUGAGACACGGCCCAAACUCCUACGGGAGGCAGCAGUGGGGAAUAUUGCACAAUGGGGGAAACCCUGAUGCAGCGACGCCGCGUGAGCGAAGAAGUAUUUCGGUAUGUAAAGCUCUAUCAGCAGGGAAGAAAAUGACGGUACCUGACUAAGAAGCCCCGGCUAACUACGUGCCAGCAGCCGCGGUAAUACGUAGGGGGCAAGCGUUAUCCGGAUUUACUGGGUGUAAAGGGAGCGUAGACGGCAAGGCAAGUCUGAAGUGAAAGCCCGGUGCUUAACGCCGGGACUGCUUUGGAAACUGUUUGGCUGGAGUGCCGGAGAGGUAAGCGGAAUUCCUAGUGUAGCGGUGAAAUGCGUAGAUAUUAGGAAGAACACCAGUGGCGAAGGCGGCUUACUGGACAGUAACUGACGUUGAGGCUCGAAAGCGUGGGGAGCAAACAGGAUUAGAUACCCUGGUAGUCCACGCC
rnacentral:rRNA from 1 species